rnacentral:rRNA from 1 species
GCUGGCGGCGUGCCUAACACAUGCAAGUCGAACGCGAAAGUCCCGCAAGGGAUCAGUAGAGUGGCAAACGGGUGAGUAACGCGUGGGCGACCUACCUCUGAGUGGGGGAUAACCUUCCGAAAGGAGGGCUAAUACCGCAUGACAUCCCGUGUUUGGAUACACGGACAUCAAAGCCGGGGAUCGCAAGACCUGGCGCUUGGAGAGGGGCCCGCGUCCGAUUAGCUAGUUGGUGAGGUAACGGCUCACCAAGGCUCCGAUCGGUAUCCGGCCUGAGAGGGCGGACGGACACACUGGGACUGAGACACGGCCCAGACUCCUACGGGAGGCAGCAGUGGGGAAUUGUUCGCAAUGGGCGCAAGCCUGACGACGCAACGCCGCGUGGAGGAUGAAGACCUUCGGGUCGUAAACUCCUUUCGACCGAGAUGAAUUCCCGCCGGCCUAACAUGCCGGCGGGGUGACAGUA